GACGAACGCUGGCGGCGUGCUUAACACAUGCAAGUCGAGCGGUAAGGCCCUUUCGGGGUACGACGAGCGGCGAACGGGUGAGUAACACGUGGGUGACCUGCCCUCAGCUCUGGGAUAAGCCUGGGAAACCGGGUCUAAUACUGGAUAUGACUCCAUGACGCAUGUUGUGGGGUGGAAAGCCUUGUGCGGCUGAGGAUGGGCCCGCGGCCUAUCAGCUUGUUGGUGGGGUGAGGCCUACCAAGGCGACGACGGGUAGCCGGCCUGAGAGGGCGACCGGCCACACUGGGACUGAGACACGGCCCAGACUCCUACGGGAGGCAGCAGUGGGGAAUAUUGGACAAUGGGCGCAAGCCUGAUCCAGCGAUGCCGCGUGUGUGAAGAAGGCCUGC
rnacentral:rRNA from 1 species